rnacentral:rRNA from 1 species
GUGCCAGCAGCCGCGGUAAUACGUAGGGGGCAAGCGUUGUCCGGAUUUAUUGGGCGUAAAGCGCGCGCAGGCGGUCUGCCAAGUUCGGAGUGACAGUUUCCGGCUUAACCGGAAAAGGUCUUCGAAAACUGGUGGACUUGAGAACUUGAGGGGGAGACGGAAUUCCGGGUGGAGCGGUGAAAUGCGUAGAGAUCCGGAGGAACACCGAAAGCGAAGGCAGUCUCCUGGCAAGUUUCUGACGCUCAGGUGCGAAAGCUAGGGGAGCGAACAGGAUUAGAUACCCUGGUAGUCC